rnacentral:rRNA from 1 species
UACGUAGGGUGCGAGCGUUGUCCGGAAUUAUUGGGCGUAAAGAGCUCGUAGGCGGUCUGUCGCGUCGGUCGUGAAAACCUGCAGCUUAACUGUGGGCGUGCGGUCGAUACGGGCAUGACUGGAGUUCGGCAGGGGAGACUGGAAUUCCUGGUGUAGCGGUGAAAUGCGCAGAUAUCAGGAGGAACACCGGUGGCGAAGGCGGGUCUCUGGGCCGAUACUGACGCUGAGACGCGAAAGCGUGGGGAGCGAACAGG